AGAGUUUGAUCCUGGCUCAGGAUGAACGCUGGCGGCGUGCCUAAUACAUGCAAGUCGAACGCACCGGUUUACCGGUGAGUGGCGAACGGGUGAGUAACACGUGGGUAACCCGCCCUCAAGACGAGGAUAACCGUUGGAAACGAUGGCUAAGACUGGAUAGGAGCCUUGGAGGCAUCUCUGGGGCUUUAAAGGACCCGCAAGGGUACGCUUGAGGAGGGGCCUGCGGCGCAUUAGUUAGUUGGCGGGGUGAUGGCCCACCAAGACGAUGAUGCGUAGCCGGACUGAGAGGUUGAACGGCCACAUUGGGACUGAGAGACGGCCCAAACUCCUACGGGAGGCAGCAGUAGGGAAUUUUCGGCAAUGGGGGAAACCCUGACCGAGCAACGCCGCGUGAACGACGAAGUACUUCGGUAUGUAAAGUUCUUUUAAGAGGGAAGAAUGGCUGGCGGAAAAGCCAGAUUGACGGUACCUUUUGAAUAAGCCCCGGCUAACUAUGUGCCAGCAGCCGCGGUAAUACAUAGGGGGCAAGCGUUAUCCGGAAUUAUUGGGCGUAAAGGGUGCGUAGGUGGCCCGUUAAGUCUUUGGUGUAAGUGCAGCGCUCAACGCUGUGAUGCUAAAGAAACUGGCGGGCUUGAGUGUGGUAGAGGCAAGUGGAAUUCCAUGUGUAGCGGUAAAAUGCGUAAAUAUAUGGAGGAACACCGGUGGCGAAGGCGGCUUGCUGGGCCACAACUGACACUGAGGCACGAAAGCGUGGGGAGCAAACAGGAUUAGAUACCCUGGUAGUCCACGCCGUAAACGAUGAGCACUAAGUGUAGGGGAAACCCUGUGCUGUAGUUAACGCAAUAAGUGCUCCGCCUGAGUAGUACGUACGCAAGUAUGAAACUCAAAGGAAUUGACGGGACCCCGCACAAGCGGUGGAUCAUGUUGUUUAAUUCGAUGAUACGCGAAGAACCUUACCAGGUCUUGACAUCCCCCGCAAUGCUUUAGAGAUAAAGCGGAGGUAUCCGGGGAGACAGGUGGUGCAUGGUUGUCGUCAGCUCGUGUCGUGAGAUGUUGGGUUAAGUCCCGCAACGAGCGCAACCCUUAUUGCUAGUUACCAUCAUUAAGUUGGGGACUCUAGCGAGACUGCCAGUGAUAAACUGGAGGAAGGUGGGGAUGACGUCAAAUCAUCAUGCC
rnacentral:rRNA from 1 species